rnacentral:rRNA from 1 species
CGGGACACGUGGUAUCCUGUCUGAAUAUGGGGGGACCAUCCUCCAAGGCUAAAUACUCCUGACUGACCGAUAGUGAACCAGUACCGUGAGGGAAAGGCGAAAAGAACCCCGGCGAGGGGAGUGAAAAAGAACCUGAAACCGUGUACGUACAAGCAGUGGGAGCACGCUUAGGCGUGUGACUGCGUACCUUUUGUAUAAUGGGUCAGCGACUUAUAUUCUGUAGCAAGGUUAACCGAAUAGGGGAGCCGAAGGGAAACCGAGUCUUAACUGGGCGUUAAGUUGCAGGGUAUAGACCCGAAACCCGGUGAUCUAGCCAUGGGCAGGUUGAAGGUUGGGUAACACUAACUGGAGGACCGAACCGACUAAUGUUGAAAAAUUAGCGGAUGACUUGUGGCUGGGGGUGAAAGGCCAAUCAAACCGGGAGAUAGCUGGUUCUCCCCGAAAGCUAUUUAGGUAGCGCCUCGUGAAUUCAUCUCCGGGGGUAGAGCACUGUUUCGGCAAGGGGGUCAUCCCGACUUACCAACCCGAUGCAAACUGCGAAUACCGGAGAAUGUUAUCACGGGAGACACACGGCGGGUGCUAACGUCCGUCGUGAAGAGGGAAACAACCCAGACCGCCAGCUAAGGUCCCAAAGUCAUGGUUAAGUGGGAAACGAUGUGGGAAGGCCCAGACAGCCAGGAUGUUGGCUUAGAAGCAGCCAUCAUUUAAAGAAAGCGUAAUAGCUCACUGGUCGAGUCGGCCUGCGCGGAAGAUGUAACGGGGCUAAACCAUGCACCGAAGCUGCGGCAGCGACACUAUGUGUUGUUGGGUAGGGGAGCGUUCUGUAAGCCUGUGAAGGUGUACUGUGAGGUAUG